GAUGAACGCUGGCGGCGUGCCUAAUACAUGCAAGUAGAACGCUGAAGGAAGGAGCUUGCUCUUUCCGGAUGAGUUGCGAACGGGUGAGUAACGCGUAGGUAACCUGCCUGGUAGCGGGGGAUAACUAUUGGAAACGAUAGCUAAUACCGCAUAACAGUAGAUGUUGCAUGAUAUCUACUUAAAAGGUGCAAUUGCACCACUACCAGAUGGACCUGCGUUGUAUUAGCUAGUUGGUGAGGUAACGGCUCACCAAGGCGACGAUACAUAGCCGACCUGAGAGGGUGGUCGGCCAGACGGGGAGUGGGACCGGGCCAAGCCUCCUGGGGGGGGGGGCAGGAGGGAAUCUUCGGCAAAGGACGGAAGUCUGACCGAGAACCGCCGGGUGGGGGAAGAAGGUUUUGGGAUCGUAAAGCUGUUUUGUAAGGGAAAAACGGGGGGGGGAGGGGAAAGUUCCCCCUGGGGCGGUAUUUUCCAAGAAAGGGCCGGCAAACUGCGU
rnacentral:rRNA from 1 species